rnacentral:tRNA from 1 species
UUGGUAGAAGCCAAAUUUAGAGGCAUAUCAUUGUUAAUGAUACCACUGAAAUAUUCUUUCCUAUCAAG